GAGACCCACGCCAACAGUUGCCAGCAUGUCCUCCGGGAUGGUGGGGACACUGUUGGGACCGCCUCUGCUAAAGAGGAGGAAGGAAUGGGCAACGGUAGGUCAGCAUGCCCCGAAUUAUCCGGGCUACACGCGGGCUACAAUGGUCAGGACAAUGGGUAUCGACACCGAGAGGUGAAGGCAAUCUCCUAAACCUGUCCUUAGUUCGGAUUGUGGGCUGCAACUCGCCCACAUGAAGCUGGAAUCCGUAGUAAUCGCGUCUCAAAAUGGCGCGGUGAAUAU
rnacentral:rRNA from 1 species